UACAGGGGGUGCAAACGUUGCUCGGAAUCAUUGGGCGUAAAGCGCACGUAGGCGGUCUGUUAUGUCGGAUGUGAAAGCCCUUGGCUCAACUGAGGAAGUGCAUCCGAAACUGGCGAGCUUGAGUACUGAAGAGGAUCGCGGAAUUCCCGGUGUAGAGGUGAAAUUCGUAGAUAUCGGGAGGAACACCAGUGGCGAAGGCGGCGAUCUGGGCAGAUACUGACGCUGAGGUGCGAAAGCGUGGGGAGCAAACAGG
rnacentral:rRNA from 1 species